GGGGCCAGGAAAAGGCAGUAUCUGCCCUCCCCUCCGGGUGAGGAUGUAGCUGCAGCUGCUGGACCCACAUCUGCAGACCUGCGCCUCCUGUUCCACAGAGCUAGCAGGAGCCAGGGACAAGCAGGAGCCCUGCCCCUUCUAAGUUGGUGGGGCAGGAGCUCCCAGGUGCUGCUGCGGCCACCCUCUCAGGGAAGGACCCGGGCAUCUCUACAGCCUGCACCCUCACAGGUUCCAGAAAGGACACUCCCCCAUCCCCCAGGCAGGCUCUGGGGUGUUUUCUCCCACUGCCUGGCCUCUCUACUUUCCUGGCACCUGUUCCGAUUGUGGAGCAGGAUCUGGGCCGAGCUCCCGGACCAUGAAUGGCAACGGGAGGCAGACACCCUGGUGGAAGGGGGUGGGUCUCCAGUAAGGCCUCACCUUCAGUCCAGGGAGGACCUGAAGGCUGGGGGCUGGGCUGCCAGUCCUGCAGACUGGAGUGGGGAGCCUCUUCUCAGGUAAGAAUCUUAACCUUCUCACCGGCCCAUGGCUGCCCAUGGACCAAUGGACAUGCACUUCCUCCCCUCUGAGGUCUGUAAAAGCCCUAGGCUCAGCCAGAGGACAGCCAGAGGACGAAGAGGGCAGAAAGGCAACCGGACGACCAGACCACCUGCAGAGAGGAGCUACCCUCUCUGCUGAGAGCUGCAGAGAUGGCUUGUCUGCGUACCUCAUUCUUCCUGGGCACAGGACAAGAACUCUUGUAAAGGUGCCACUGGCCACAGAGGUUUCUGGGAAGAAAAUUGAUACCCCAAGGAUCCCGUAACAGUUUCAUAGUGAAGAAUUUAAGUGACAUCAAAUAGCAUGAUUGGUUGUUGCUGCUAGCCACAGGGCCACCUUCAUGGAGGAGACAUGGAGACAUGGGCUAAUGCUUGAAACACAGGAGACCCUCAAGAAGUAUCUGCAAAAUGAACACUAGUGAGAAAGGACGGCUUUUGUUAGACUUCAUCCUAUAAAUCUUGAAGACUUUAACCUAGAAGCAUUGGAGGUGUCCAAUGAGGAACUUGGGUUUUAUGAACACUAAGUCCCUACCAAUCCCAACAGUAUGUCUGAAUCUCUGAGUUCCCAUAAGAAGAAAGAUUCUUCUCAAAAUAAAUCACUAAUAAGGGAAAUUUGGUGACUGAUUGAAGCUAAGGAAGAUAACCUCAUUUCUACUUCUGUAAGGAGGAAAAUACCCUCUCUGCCAAAGAUCCAGAGCUCAGUACCUGCACAGAUGUUCUUAUGGCCCAAGGAAAUCCUUCUCCACAUCUCUUGCCCUAUUACCUUGAAAGAAAAAGUGGCUGCCCCAAAUCCCCAAACGCCAUGAACAUUGAAGGAUGGUGCCCCUGUCCAUGUUGCAUUUGGAUGCCUCUUUGGAGUAUCAGGAGGAUUUGAGCAGUGGAAGCUCUUAAGAAAGAAAAUACAAAUUAUUUUAAGAAGAAAACAACCCCAUCAAAAAGUGGGUGAAGGAUAUGAACAGACACUUCUCAAAAGAAGACAUUUAUGCAGCCAAAAGACACAUGAAAAAAUGCUCA
rnacentral:lncRNA from 1 species